AUGGCAAUCGCAUUGCCAGCCUUCCUGCUGCUGCUACCGCUCUUCUCCAUCGCCGCUGUCUUCCUCCUCCAUGCCCAUGCGCGGAGAACCCACAAGCCGGCGGCGCCCUACCCGCUGCUCGGCCACCUGCCGCAGUUCCUGGCGAACCGGCACCGCAUCCUGGACUGGAUCACCGAGGUGCUCGCGCGCCAGCCCACCAGCACGCUCGUCUUCCACCGGCCCGGCGGCGAACGGGGCGUCAUCACCGCCAACCCCGCCAACCUGGAGCACGUUAUGCGCGCCGGCUUCCACAACUACCCCAAGGGCCCGCGCUUCGCGUCGGCGCUCCACGACUUCCUGGGCCAUGGCAUCCUCAACGUCGACGGCCAUGCGUGGCGCGCCCAGCGCAAGGCCGCCAGCUACGAGUUCAACACACGCUCGCUGCGCCUCUUCGUGGCCCGCACCGUGCACGGCGAGCUGCACGGCAGGCUCCUCCCGCUCCUGCGCCGCGCCGCCGGCUCCGGACGUAAGAUCGAUCUACAGGACACGCUCGAACGCUACGCCUUCGAUAACAUCUGCCGCGUCGCCUUCGACCACGAUCCCCGGCAGCUCCCGGACGGGGACGCAGACGAGAGCGCCGCGACGGUGACCGAGAGCAGCAGGUUCGCUGACGCGUUCCGCGACGCCGCCAAUCUCAGCGCGGGCAGGUUCCGUUACGCCGUCCCGGGGCUGUGGAAGGUAAAGAAGGCGCUCAACCUGGGCUCCGAGCGCCGGCUCCGCGAGUCCAUCGCCGUGGUGCACGGCUUCGCCGACCGCAUCAUCCGAUCGCGGAGAGAGGAGAUGAGCAUGGGAUGCGAGAAGCACGACCUCCUGUCACGGUUCAUGGCGAGCCAGGGCGAGAGCUACACCGAGACGGCCCUCCGCGACGUGGUGAUCAGCUUCCUGCUGGCCGGCCGGGAGACCACGUCCUCCGCGCUCACCUGGUUCUUCUGGCUGCUGUCCUCGCGCCCGGACGUGGAGCGCCGCAUCCGCGACGAGGUCGCCGCCGUGCGCGCCCGCCGUGCAAUCUCCGAUCUCAACCGAGCCGGGUUCGAUCUCGAGGAGCUGAGGGAGAUGCACUACGUGCACGCGGCCAUCACGGAGUCGAUGCGGCUGUACCCGCCGGUGCCGGUGAACUCGGUGCAGGCGCGGGCGGCGGACGUUCUGCCCGACGGCACGGCGGUGGGGGCGGGGUGGUUCGUGUCGUACAACUCGUACGCCAUGGGCCGGAUGGAGUCGGUGUGGGGCGAGGACGCGCGGGCGUACCGGCCGGAGCGGUGGCUGGACCCGGACCCGGCGGAGGCGACGUUCCGGCCGGAGAGCCCGUUCCGGUACAUCGUGUUCCACGCGGGGCCGAGGAUCUGCCUCGGGAAGGAGAUGGCGUACAUCCAGAUGAAGUCCAUCGUGGCGUCCGUGGUGGAGGAGUUUGAGGUGGCGGUGGACGGCGGCUACACGCCGCGGCAGGUGGCCUCGCUGACGCUGCGGAUGGCCGACGGGCUGCCGGUCAGGGUCAAGGAUUUUCGUGGAGGGAAUUGA
rnacentral:rRNA from 1 species